UACGUAGGGUGCGAGCGUUAAUCGGAAUUACUGGGCGUAAAGCGUGCACAGGCGGUUUGUUAAGCCAGAUGUGAAAGCCCCGGGCUCAACCUGGGAACUGCGUUUGGUACUGGCAAGCUAGAGUACGGCAGAGGGGGGUGGAAUUCCACGUGUAGCAGUGAAGUGCGUAGAGAUGUGGAGGAACACCGAUGGCGAAGGCAGCCCCCUGGGCCGAUACUGACGCUCAGGCACGAAAGCGUGGGGAGCAAACAGG
rnacentral:rRNA from 1 species